rnacentral:sRNA from 1 species
AGAGAAGGUAUCUGCAGCUGUCUGUGAACGACCUCCUCAGGUAGCAGAGCUGAAGACGAAACUGGACGCCGCGGAAAGAUUCCUCAGCACGCGGGAGAAGGAUCCGCAUCAGAGGCAGAGAAAGGACGACAGGCAGAGAGAGGACGACAGGCAGCGCGACCUGACCCGGGACCGGCUGCAGCGGGAGGAGAAGGAAAAGGAACGCCUAAAUGAAGAAUUACAUGAAUUGAAGGAAGAGAAUAAACUUUUAAAGGGAAAAAAUACUCUUGCGAACAAGGAAAAGGAACAUUACGAAUGUGAAAUAAAACGCCUCAAUAAGGCUCUUCAGGAUGCCUUGAAUAUCAAGUGUUCAUUUUCCGAGGACUGUUUGAGGAAGUCUCGAGUGGAAUUCUGCCAUGAGGAGAUGAGAACAGAAAUGGAAGUUCUGAAGCAGCAGGUGCAAAUAUACGAAGAAGACUUCAAAAAGGAACGAUCGGAUCGAGAGAGACUUAAUCAAGAGAAAGAGGAGCUACAGCAAAUUAAUGAAACUUCCCAAUCCCAGUUGAACAGGCUGAAUUCCCAGAUAAAAGCUUGUCAGAUGGAGAAAGAAAAACUAGAAAAGCAAUUAAAACAGAUGUAUUGCCCACCCUGUAACUGCGGCUUGGUUUUCCACCUGCAAGAUCCAUGGGUACCAACAGGCCCUGGAGCUGUGCAGAAGCAACGGGAGCACCCAGUUUAUCCUCAGUAAAGAAAGUCCAUCAGUAGAAGUACACACUAACAGAGAGAGACAACAGGCAACGAGGGAGCGUGGCUGAGGACCCUCUUCUUUGUUUAUACUGAGGCUUGUUUCUGCCACAAA